GGGAUGCGCGUGCUAUACUGCAGUCGACGCUUCUUUCCUCCCGAGUGCUUGCACUCAAUUGGAAAGAGGAGUGGCGGACGGGUGAGUAACACGUGGGUAACCUACCCAUCAGAGGGGGAUAACACUUGGAAACAGGUGCUAAUACCGCAUAACAGUUUAUGCCGCAUGGCAUAAGAGUGAAAGGCGCUUUCGGGUGUCGCUGAUGGAUGGACCCGCGGUGCAUUAGCUAGUUGGUGAGGUAACGGCUCACCAAGGCCACGAUGCAUAGCCGACCUGAGAGGGUGAUCGGCCACACUGGGACUGAGACACGGCCCAGACUCCUACGGGAGGCAGCAGUAGGGAAUCUUCGGCAAUGGACGAAAGUCUGACCGAGCAACGCCGCGUGAGUGAAGAAGGUUUUCGGAUCGUAAAACUCUGUUGUUAGAGAAGAACAAGGACGUUAGUAACUGAACGUCCCCUGACGGUAUCUAACCAGAAAGCCACGGCUAACUACGUGCCAGCAGCCGCGGUAAUACGUAGGUGGCAAGCGUUGUCCGGAUUUAUUGGGCGUAAAGCGAGCGCAGGCGGUUUCUUAAGUCUGAUGUGAAAGCCCCCGGCUCA
rnacentral:rRNA from 1 species